rnacentral:SRP_RNA from 1 species
GUUGGGCAUGAUGGCAUUUACUUGUAGUCCCAGCAACUCACUACUCAGGAGGCUGAGGCUGGAGGAUUGCUUGAGUCCAGGAGUUCUGAGCUGUAGUGCCCUCUGCUGACUGUCUAAACAAAGUUCAGCAUCAAUAGGUUGACCUCCCAGGAGUAGGGGACCACCAAGUUGCCUAAGGAGGGGUGAACCAGCCCAGGUCAGAAAUGAAGCAGUUCAAAACUCCCAUGCUGAUCAGUAGUGGGAUCACACCUGUGGAUAGCCACUGCAUUUCAGCAGCCUGGGCAACAGAGCAAGACCUUGUCUCAU